rnacentral:rRNA from 1 species
UUAUCCGGAUUUACUGGGUGUAAAGGGAGCGCAGGCGGUGCGGCAAGUCUGAUGUGAAAGCCCGGGGCUCAACCCCGGUACUGCAUUGGAAACUGUCGUACUAGAGUGUCGGAGGGGUAAGCGGAAUUCCUAGUGUAGCGGUGAAAUGCGUAGAUAUUAGGAGGAACACCAGUGGCGAAGGCGGCUUACUGGACGAUAACUGACGCUGAGGCUCGAAAGCGUGGGGAGCAAACAGGAUUAGAUACCCUGGUAAUCCACGCCGUAAACGAUGAAUACUAGGUGUUGGGAAGCGUUGCUUCUCGGUGCCGU